AGCCCUCAGCUUGUUAUUUUUAAUUAAUCUGUAAUAUUAUGGUGAAGUUUGACCAGAAAAUAAAGUGUGGUCAUUGGACCAACAGGUAUUCCUGUCACUCUGGAGCUGUUCCAUCUUAAACCCACUAACUUGGGUUUAACUGAGGUCUCCAGAUGAUUUGCAGAGAGGCUAAGAAAAUGUGAAGAAAUGGAAAACAUUUUGAAGAGCAAGAGGUUGCAAUUUAAUCUUCAAGGAGGUAAAGAAGCACCACAGAGCCCUGCUGAGGAUGCUAAUGUGCCGCCAUUGUCAGGGUCUUAGAACGUGAGGACGCAGCGGAUGCUGAAACACAAAAGAACACUGAAAAUAUCUGCAAUCAAGGCUAGCAGAGAACAGCCAAUCAUGAGAUCAGAACGGAGCAACGAGAACCAGACAGUAUGGCAGCAGACAGCCCUGAGGAGUCAGUCACCUCAGUUAUGGGUGCCCUUCACUCUGGGACCUCUCAGCACUCCUCAGAGGAAGAGGAAAUACUAUCACAGUCUCAUUUGAGAUCAUACACCCAAGGACCUAAGGAUUUGCAGAAGGCCUCACCUCCAGAACUUCUCAGUAGCACCAUUCUGGGCACCUCUAACCUACAGACCGGGGAGAUCUUCAACAUCUAUACCACAGAAACAAUACAAUAUCUGAUGAUUGCAUAAUUGGUUGGUAAAUCUGCUGGUUCCAUCCAACAUUAAUCCGGUUGGAGAGAGAAUACUGCUCCCCAGACAGAGCAACAAAGAAGAGAAAUGAAAAGACAUUACCAGAGUUGUGUCAACCCCUGUACCCAGGAAAGCACGUGAGGAUCAGGAUGGCAUUACAGUAGCUGUACCCUUUCUUCGGGAUCAAGAUGGCAUUACAGUAUCUACACCCUUUCCUCCGCAUCAGAAACAGCAUUAUGGUAUCUGCACCCUUUCCUCAGGAUCAGGAUGGCGUUACAGUAUCCGCACCCUUUCCUCGGGAUCAUACAUGGUCUAGUUCUUGAGCUUACACUGUGGCAGGGAGCCAGAGAUUGAGUUUCCUGGGGCCUGAGAAGAAUGCAAGGGCCCUUUAAUACAUGUGUGGAGGCCUUCAGAAGACCUAGUGUGUUGGGGCACCGUCAAAUCCACCAGGUGUCUCUGGAGAACUGAGCACAGCUCACAGGAGGAUGAGACACACUGGUGCUGUUUCUCUAGGAACUAUGUCCCAUGAUAACUUUCCCAAGACUGGGGAACAAGUCUCUGUUAUGGGCAUCUCUGAGACUACAUCCUAUACACCUCGGAAGGCCUCUCCCAUGAGGCUCUAAAAAUGUCCUGCACUAACGGCUCUGGUUUUUCCCCAGACACCCAAACAGGUUAAAAGAACAAAUGAUCGGCUUAUUUUUCUUGAACCCGUGUUGGAAGGAAUGUCUUGCUAACUGGCAGACCCAAUCUAUAUCUUCAGGAGGGAAAUGUCUACUAAAUGUAGAAAGGACACAGUAACCGAAAACAAAGUGAAGUAACCCAAACAGUGGGGAUGUCUCUAGCAGAGCCAAGGAGGAGUUCUCAGAAUGGGGAGAGCUGAGUGCGUCCCCCCAUCAGGGAAGCACGGGGAGGAGGCAGUGUGUGGCAGAGCCAGCAGCUGGGACUGCCCCAGACUUGGAGCUGUGGCACCACUGUUGAGGCCCAGGGCCAUCCGGAUCAUGUGACACUUGGUUCUUCUGGCGCUGUAGUGCCCAGAGGCUGAGGCCGGGACCCUUGACCUCUGAACAGCAGUGAGAAUC